GCAGUCGAAACGGUAACGCGAGGAGCUUGCUCCUUGGCGACGAGUGGCGGACGGGUGAGUAAUACUUAGGAAUCUGCCCAGUAGUGGGGGACAACCAGGAGAAAUCCUGGCUAAUACCGCAUACGCACUACGGUGGAAAGUGGGGGAUCUUCGGACCUCACGCUAUUGGAUGAGCCUAAGUCGGAUUAGCUUGUUGGUAGGGUAAUGGCCUACCAAGGCGACGAUCCGUAGCUGGUCUGAGAGGACGAUCAGCCACACUGGGACUGAGACACGGCCCAGACUCCUACGGGAGGCAGCAGUGGGGAAUAUUGGACAAUGGGGGCAACCCUGAUCCAGCAAUGCCGCGUGUGUGAAGAAGGCCUGCGGGUUGUAAAGCACUUUCAGUAGAGAAGAAAAGCCUAGGGUUAAUAACCCUGAGUCUUGACGUAACCUACAGAAGAAGCACCGGCUAACUCCGUGCCAGCAGCCGCGGUAAUACGGAGGGUGCGAGCGUUAAUCGGAAUUACUGGGCGUAAAGCGCGCGUAGGCGGCUUUGUAAGUCGGAUGUGAAAGCCCCGGGCUUAACCUGGGAAUUGCAUUCGAUACUGCAUAACUAGAGUAUGGUAGAGGGAAGUGGAAUUUCCGGUGUAGCGGUGAAAUGCGUAGAUAUCGGAAGGAACACCAGUGGCGAAGGCGACUUCCUGG
rnacentral:rRNA from 1 species